rnacentral:rRNA from 1 species
GAUGAACGCUGGCGGCGUGCCUAAUACAUGCAAGUCGAGCGAACAGACGAGGAGCUUGCUCCUCUGACGUUAGCGGCGGACGGGUGAGUAACACGUGGAUAACCUACCUAUAAGACUGUGAUAACUUCGGGAAACCGGAGCUAAUACCGGAUAAUAUAUUGAACCGCAUGGUUCAAUAGUGAAAGACGGUUUUGCUGUCACUUAUAGAUGGAUCCGCGCCGCAUUAGCUAGUUGGUAAGGUAACGGCUUACCAAGGCAACGAUGCGUAGCCGACCUGAGAGGGUGAUCGGCCACACUGGAACUGAGACACGGUCCAGACUCCUACGGGAGGCAGCAGUAGGGAAUCUUCCGCAAUGGGCGAAAGCUUGACGGAGCAACGCCGCGUGAGUGAUGAAGGUCUUCGGAUCGUAAAACUCUGUUAUUAGGGAAGAACAAAUGUGUAAGUAACUAUGCACGUCUUGACGGUACCGAAUCAGAAAGCCACGGCUAACUACGUG